UACGUAGGGGGCGAGCGUUGUCCGGAUUUAUUGGGCGUAAAGAGCUCGUAGGCGGUUUGGUAAGUCGGGUGUGAAAUCUCCACGCUCAACGUGGAGGGGCCACUCGAUACUGCCAUGACUCGAGUCCGGUAGAGGAGUGUGGAAUUCCCGGUGUAGCGGUGAAAUGCGCAGAUAUCGGGAGGAACACCCGUAGCGAAGGCGGCACUCUGGGCCGGAACUGACGCUGAGACGCGAAAGCGUGGGGAGCAAACAGG
rnacentral:rRNA from 1 species